rnacentral:SRP_RNA from 1 species
GCCAGGUGUGGUGGUGCACACCUGUAAUCCCAGCUACUUGGGAGGCUGAGGCAGAAGAAUCACUUGAACCCGGGAGGCAGAGGUUGCAGUGAGCAGAGAUCACGCCACUGCACCCCAGCCUGGACAACAAAGUGAAACUCUGUCUCAA